rnacentral:rRNA from 1 species
AUUGAACGCUGGCGGCAUGCCUUACACAUGCAAGUCGAACGGUAACAGGUCUUCGGAUGCUGACGAGUGGCGAACGGGUGAGUAAUACAUCGGAACGUGCCCGAGAGUGGGGGAUAACGAGGCGAAAGCUUUGCUAAUACCGCAUACGAUCUCAGGAUGAAAGCAGGGGACCGCAAGGCCUUGCGCUCACGGAGCGGCCGAUGGCAGAUUAGGUAGUUGGUGGGAUAAAAGCUUACCAAGCCGACGAUCUGUAGCUGGUCUGAGAGGACGACCAGCCACACUGGGACUGAGACACGGCCCAGACUCCUACGGGAGGCAGCAGUGGGGAAUUUUGGACAAUGGGCGCAAGCCUGAUCCAGCCAUGCCGCGUGCAGGAUGAAGGCCUUCGGGUUGUAAACUGCUUUUGUACGGAACGAAAAGACUCUGGUUAAUACCUGGGGUCCAUGACGGUACCGUAAGAAUAAGCACCGGCUAACUACGUGCCAGCAGCCGCAGUAAUAC